CGGCUGGAACAAACACGGAUGACGUUGAGUGAAUAAACUCUGCUUGCUUUUACUAGCGAGUGAAUAGGUUUUAACCAAUCUCUUUUACUAUCUAUCAAUACUUUCCAGAGCUGACAGAUUAUGUCAAGAUUUCGCUCUGGGAAUGGUGAUCAACUUUGUCUCAAAUUUGGUAUGGGAACAGAAGUGCUGGACGCUGAAUAACAUGAUGGAGAAAGUCGACAUAAAAUGCCAAAAAUAAGAUAUCACCUGCAGUUUCUGGUAGACCCCCUAACUCUAAGAAGAAACCAUUCGAUGGAUGUGGAAGCAAUAGGCAAUUUUGCUUAAUGAAAAACGUUGAAGUUCAUUAGGGGGGUGACAAUCUUGUCAACUUAGGCGGGCACCAAACCCAUCUUUUUCACACUAGUUGGUGGGUAUUUUUUGGCUGCCAUAACUAAUAAAAUGCCCGACGGAAGAGCAAACUAGCAAGUCUGCCGCUAAUAUAUCAAAAAUUCAACCUUCAUAGGAAGAAAAAAAUUAAGGAGGCCAAUACAAACUCAACCAAUACAGCCGCAAUUUGCUCUUAAUGAUUAUCUUUAGACCCCAUAGUAGGUGAGUUAUUAUAAAACGUGGUGACAACCCAGUUCUCAGCAACAUUCUUCAUUUCCUGACAUAUAUAAGUCAAACAAAUCAGUGGGACAAAGAGAAUCUACUCUUUCCUUUUUUUGUUUUCCGAAAUACAAAAAACAGGCCUGGAACUCUGGUCGUCAGGUAAUAAAAUUUAAGGGUGAACGGAGCAAAAGAAAAUCAUCUUGAAUGGAGGAACAACAUCCUGAACUUAGCAGACAGGUGACUGAGAUUCUACACAAGAGAAAGACCCCAGAGAAGUUGUGGAAGGAGACAAAGAAGACAUGGGACAUCGCCCUACCAGCUAUAAUAACAGCAGUUACACAAUUCUCCCUCGAACUUGUCACUUCUGCCUUUGCCGGACAUCUGGGAGAUGCUGAGCUUGCUGCAGUCUCUGUGGUUCAGAAUGUUAUAGAUGGCUUUGUCUAUGGGGUCAUGUUGGGGAUGGGUAGUGCUCUUGAAACCCUUUGUGGUCAAGCGGUCGGUGCUGGACAAGUUGGCAUGCUUGGAAUCUACCUGCAGAGGUCAUGGAUCAUCACCAUCGUCACAGCUUUGUUCUUGACUCCUAUUUACGUGUUUGCCUCGCCCAUACUCAAGCUUUUACACCAAAACAGAGAUAUCUCCAACCUUGCCGGUAAAUUUGCACUGUGGGUGAUACCUCAGCUGUUUGCAUAUGCUCUGAACUUCCCCGUACAGAAGUUCUUCCAAUCUCAAAGCAAAGUUUGGAUGAUGACGAUGCUCUCUAUAGCGUCAUUGGCGCUCCAUGUGUUACUAAAUUGGGUUCUCGUGACGAAGCUCGGCCACGGCUUGCUCGGUGCUGCAAUGGCAGGAAACAUCACAUGGUUUCUGCUGGAUAUAUCCCAAAUAAUCUAUGCAAUAUCAGGUUGUUUUCCAGAUGCAUGGAACGGCUUUUCCUGGUUAGCUUUUAAGUCACUGACCAACUUUGUCAAGCUCUCACUUGCGUCAGCAAUAAUGUUAUGCUUGGAAUUAUGGUACUUUACAGCAGUUAUCCUGAUGGUAGGAGGUUUGAAGGAUGCUGCAGUCGCAAUCGAUGCCAUAUCAAUCUGUAUGAACUUGCAGCUAUGGACAAUGAUGAUUGCCGUAGGCUUCAAUGCAUCGGUCAGUGUAAGAGUGUCAAAUGAACUCGGAGCCGGGAAACCAAACGCUGCAAAGUUCUCAAUCAUAGUCAAUGUUUUGACAUCUGGGAUACUUGGAAUUGUCUUUGCCGCAAUCAUCAUUGGCACAAAAAGCAAGUUUCCCUUAUUGUUUACAGAUAAGGCACAGGUCAUAAAAAAGACAUCCAAGCUGGGAUACGUUCUCGCAGCAACCAUAUUCCUCAACAGCAUCCAACUAGUUUUAAACGGGGUAGCUGUUGGUGGAGGAUGGCAGUUCUCAGUAGCAUUGCUUAAUAUAGUGUGCUAUUAUGCAAUCGGGCUUCCAUUUGGAGCAGUGCUUGGCUACAAAUUCAAUCUGGGGGUGCAGGGCAUCUGGUGGGCAAUGUUCGGCGGUAGUCUUCUCCAGACUGUCAUCCUGUUAGUCAUCAUAUCUCGAACAAAUUGGCAUAAAGAGGCUGUGGAAGCUGAUGACCGUGUGAAAACAUGGGGAGGAGCCACCGCCCCAACGGACCUGCCUCAACCUCAAGAAACUACCUGACAUUUCUGCACUCCGAACCGGUUGCUGCCCGAAUGGCAAUUACUAUUGGGCCGUCAGCCGGUUUGAUUUCAUCAGUCUUUCAGCCAGAAUUGGAGUUAAAAUUGACCGGAUCAACUCUGUUUCGGUCAAGCAAAAAGGAAAAAAAUUGCCCGGAUAAUGUUGAUCAUAAAUUCUCUAGGCCGUGCACUUGCUGUUUGUGCAAACUCCAGGACGUCAGUUGUCAGUUGUCACCUGAGAAGAGAGAGCAGUAGAGAGGAGAAAAGACAAGAGUCGGAUUCUUGAAUGGAGGAAAACCAUCAUGAAUCAGGGACUGAGCAACGGCCCAGGAGAAGAGUUCAUUCAAGUAAAUGGUAGGCUGAGUCUAAAAAGACGUGGAAAAUAGCUUUGCCAGCCAUGCUCACUUCAGUCUCUCAAUUCUCUAUCGACUUUGUGUGCACAGCCUUCGCUGGACAUCUAGGAGCUUUGCGACUUGCUGCAGUCACUGAGGCUGAGAAUGUCAUAAUUUGCUUUGCCUAUGGGGUAAAUGGCAUGUUUUCUGUUGUCCAACUGUUUGUCUGUGAUUAUCACUCUUCAUCUUCUGUUCAUUUUACAUGUUUUGGGGUGGGAUGCUACUUCAUAUUAUUUUCUAAUGGUCAAAAUCCUAUGCUGCAGGAGCAGCACCCUUCAAUCAUCUCUGAUUGUUGAAUCCUAACAUUUUGUAUCAUUUUCCGAAAGAAUUUCGUUUAGUUUUU